rnacentral:rRNA from 1 species
UACGAGGGGAGCAAGCGUUGUUCGGAAUCAUUGGGCGUAAAGGGCGCGUAGGCGGCAGUACAAGUCUGGGGUGAAAGCCCUCGGCUUAACCGAGGAAUUGCCUUGGAAACUGUACAGCUUGAGUAUUGGAGAGGAAAGCGGAAUUCCCAGUGUAGCGGUGAAAUGCGUAGAUAUUGGGAGGAACACCGAUGGCGAAGGCAGGUCUCUGGGCAUUAACUGACGCUGAGGAGCGAAAGCAUGGGGAGCGAACAGG